UAAAGAAUUUCGGUCAUCGAUGGGGAUGCGUUCCAUUAGCUUGUUGGCGGGGUAACGGCCCACCAAGGCAUCGAUGGAUAGGGGUUCUGAGAGGAAGGUCCCCCACAUUGGAACUGAGACACGGUCCAAACUCCUACGGGAGGCAGCAGUGAGGAAUAUUGGUCAAUGGGCGCUAGCCUGAACCAGCCAAGUAGCGUGAAGGAUGACUGCCCUAUGGGUUGUAAACUUCUUUUAUAUGGGAAUAAAGUGCAGUAUGUAUACUGCUUUGCGUGUACCUUAUGAAUAAGGAUCGGCUAACUCCGUGCCAGCAGCCGCGGUAAUACGGAGGAUCCGAGCGUUAUCCGGAUUUAUUGGGUUUAAAGGGAGCGUAGGCGGGUUGUUAAGUCAGUUGUGAAAGUUUGCGGCUCAACCGUAAAAUUGCAGUUGAUACUGGCAUCCUUGAGUACAGUAGAGGUAGGCGGAAUUCGUGGUGUAGCGGUGAAAUGCUUAGAUAUCACGAAGAACUCCGAUUGCGAAGGCAGCCUGCUGGACUGUAACUGACGCUGAUGCUCGAAAGUGUGGGUAUCAAACAGGAUUAGAUACCCUGGUAGUCCACACAGUA
rnacentral:rRNA from 1 species